UACGGAGGGUGCAAGCGUUAAUCGGAAUUACUGGGCGUAAAGCGCACGCAGGCGGUUAGAUAAGUUAGAAGUGAAAGCCCCCGGCUCAACCGGGGAAUUGCCUUUAAAACUGGCCGGCUAGAGUCUUGUAGAGGGGGGUGGAAUUCCAGGUGUAGCGGUGAAAUGCGUAGAGAUCUGGAGGAAUACCAGUGGCGAAGGCGGCCUCCUGGCCCAAGACUGACGCUCAGGUGCGAAAGCGUGGGGAGCAAACAGG
rnacentral:rRNA from 1 species